rnacentral:rRNA from 1 species
UACAGAGGGAGCUAGCGUUAUUCGGAAUUACUGGGCGUAAAGCGCACGUAGGCGGCUUUGUAAGUAAGAGGUGAAAGCCCAGAGCUCAACUCUGGAAUUGCCUUUUAGACUGCAUCGCUUGAAUCAUGGAGAGGUCAGUGGAAUUCCGAGUGUAGAGGUGAAAUUCGUAGAUAUUCGGAAGAACACCAGUGGCGAAGGCGGCUGACUGGACAUGUAUUGACGCUGAGGUGCGAAAGCGUGGGGAGCAAACAGG